ensembl:snoRNA
AGAAAUAAAAAAGCAUCUUGUUGGGCUGGGAAACCAAACGCUCUUAAUGCUGUGACCAAAGAUAGAUGUUCUCCACAGAACAAAACAGGCAUUUGAUUGUGCUAUGUUUUUCUCAGAAGAUAUAUGC